GCUUGUGGCUCAGUCAGUGGUAGAGUGCUUGCCUCACAUGUGUGAGGCACUGGGUUCAAUUCUCAGCACCGCA
rnacentral:tRNA from 1 species